GACGAACGCUGGCGGCGUGCUUAACACAUGCAAGUCGAACGGAAAGGCCCCUUUGGGGGUACUCGAGUGGCGAACGGGUGAGUAACACGUGAGUAACCUUCCCUUGACUUCGGGACUACUUCAGGAAACUGGGGCUAAUACCGGAUAGGAAUCCUUGCUGCAUGGUGGGGGUUGGAAAGCUUCGGCGGUUUUGGAUGGACUGGCGGCUUAUCGGCUUGUUGGUGGGGUAGGGGCUUACCAAGGCUUCGUCGGGUAGCCGGCCUGAGAGGGCGACCGGCCACAUUGGGACUGAGAUACGGCGCAGACUCCUACGGGAGGCAGCAGUGGGGAGUAUUGCACAGUGGGCGGACGCCUGAUGCAGCAGCGCCGCGUGCGGGAUGACGGCCUUCGGGUUGUAAACCGAUUUCAGCAGGGGCGAAGCUUUUGUGACGGUACCUGCAGAAGAAGCACCGGCUAACUACGUG
rnacentral:rRNA from 1 species